CUACGGGCCGCACCAGUGGGGAAUAUUGGGCAAUGGGCGCAAGCCUGACCCAGCAACGCCGCGUGAGGGAAGAAGGUUUUCGGAUUGUAAACCUCUGUCCUUGGGGACGAAGAAGUGACGGUACCCAAGGAGGAAGCUCCGGCUAACUACGUGCCAGCAGCCGCGGUAAUACGUAGGGAGCAAGCGUUGUCCGGAAUUACUGGGCGUAAGGGGUGCGUAGGCGGCAUAUUAAGUCAGGUGUGAAAUACCCGGGCUCAACCCGGGGGCUGCAUUUGAAACUGAUAUGCUUGAGUGUGAGAGAGGAAAGUGGAAUUCCUAGUGUAGCGGUGGAAUGCGUAGAUAUUAGGAGGAACACCAGUGGCGAAGGCGACUUUCUGGCUCAUAACUGACGCUGAGGCACGAAAGCGUGGGGAGCAAACAGGAUUAGAUACCCCAGUAGUC
rnacentral:rRNA from 1 species